rnacentral:rRNA from 1 species
GACGAACGCUGGCGGCGUGCUUAACACAUGCAAGUCGAACGGAAAGGCCCUGCUUUUGUGGGGUGCUCGAGUGGCGAACGGGUGAGUAACACGUGAGUAACCUGCCCUUGACUUUGGGAUAACUUCGGGAAACUGGGGCUAAUACCGGAUAGGAGCUCCUGCUGCAUGGUGGGGGUUGGAAAGUUUCGGCGGUUGGGGCUGGACUAGCGGCUUAUCAGCUUGUUGGUGGGGUAGUGGCUUACCAAGGCUUUGACGGGUAGCCGGCCUGAGAGGGUGACCGGCCACAUUGGGACUGAGAUACGGCCCAGACUCCUACGGGAGGCAGCAGUGGGGAAUAUUGCACAAUGGGCGGAAGCCUGAUGCAACAACGCCGCGUGCGGGAUGACGGCCUUCGGGUUGUAAACCGCUUUCGCCUGUGACGAAGCGUGAGUGACGGUAAUGGGUAAAGAAGCACCGGCUAACUACGUG